rnacentral:rRNA from 1 species
UACGUAGGGGGCAAGCGUUGUCCGGAUUUAUUGGGCGUAAAGAGCGUGUAGGCGGUUUGGUAGGUCCGCUGUGAAAACUCGAGGCUCAACCUCGAGACGUCGGUUGAAACCGUGUGGCUAGAGUCCGGAAGAGGAGAGUGGAAUUCCCGGUGUAGCGGUGAAAUGCGUAGAGAUCGGAAAGAACACCAACGGCGAAAGCACUCUGCUGGGCCGACACUGACACUGAGAGACGAAAGCUAGGGGAGCGAAUGGG